rnacentral:rRNA from 1 species
AAUAGAUACCCCGGUAGUCCACCCCGUAAACGUUGGGAACUAGUUGUGGGGUCCAUUCCACGGGAUUCCGUGACGCAGCUAACGCAUUAAGUUCCCCGCCUGGGGAGUACGGCCGCAAGGCUAAAACUCAAAGGAAUUGACGGGGACCCGCACAAGCGGCGGAGCAUGCGGAUUAAUUCGAUGCAACGCGAAGAACCUUACCAAGGCUUGACAUAUACGAGAACGGGCCAGAAAUGGUCAACUCUUUGGACACUCGUAAACAGGUGGUGCAUGGUUGUCGUCAGCUCGUGUCGUGAGAUGUUGGGUUAAGUCCCGCAACGAGCGCAACCCUCGUUCUAUGUUGCCAGCACGUAAUGGUGGGAACUCAUGGGAUACUGCCGGGGUCAACUCGGAGGAAGGUGGGGAUGACGUCAAAUCAUCAUGCCCCUUAUGUCUUGGGCUUCACGCAUGCUACAAUGGCCGGUACAAAGGGCUGCAGUACCGCGAGGUGGAGCGAAUCCCAAAAAGCCGGUCCCAGUUCGGAUUGAGGUCUGCAACUCGA